GACGAACCCAUGCAAACGUUAUUCGGAUUCACUGGGCUUAAAGCGUGCGUAGGCGGUCUUGUUAGUCAGGUGUGAAAGCCCCGGGCGUCAACCUGGGAACUGCGUUUGGAACUACAAGACUAGAGUGUGUCAGAGGGGGGUGGAAUUCCGCGUGUAGCAGUGAAAUGCGUAGAGAUGCGGAGGAACACCGAUGGCGAAGGCAGCCCCUCGGGAUAACACUGACGCUCAUGCACGAAAGCGUGGGGAGCAAACAGGAUUAGAAA
rnacentral:rRNA from 1 species